UAUUUCUGGAUUCAGUGCAUUUAACCGAGAAAAUCUUUCGCCUUUUACUAAAGAUUUCCAUGCACUGGAGCAAUUAUGAAUAUUUGCCAACUAUUGGAACGCCAUCGAAAGAGCGC
rnacentral:snRNA from 1 species